CCCUUAGAUGUUCUGGGCUGCACGCGCGCUACACUGACACACUCAACGAGUUCCUAGCUUGAAAGGGUUGGGUAAUCAUUUGAGCGUGUGUCGUGAUGGGGAUAGAAUAUUGUAAUUAUUGCUCUUUAACGAGGAAUUCCUAGUAGGCGUACGUUAUCAGCGUGCGUCGAUUACGUCCCUGCCCUUUGUACACACCGCCCGUCGCUCCUACCGAUUGGGUGAUCCGGUGAAUGAUUCGGACCGGCGUAGUGCUAGCUACUAGUGCUGUACUGGAAAGUUUAGUGAACCUUAUCACUUAGAGGAAGGAGAAGUCGUAACA
rnacentral:rRNA from 1 species